rnacentral:rRNA from 1 species
CCUACGGGAGGCAGCAGUGAGGAAUAUUGGUCAAUGGACGAGAGUCUGAACCAGCCAAGUAGCGUGAAGGAUGACUGCCCUAUGGGUUGUAAACUUCUUUUAUAUGGGAAUAAAAUGUUCCACGUGUGGGAUUUUGUAUGUACCAUAUGAAUAAGGAUCGGCUAACUCCGUGCCAGCAGCCGCGGUAAUACGGAGGAUCCGAGCGUUAUCCGGAUUUAUUGGGUUUAAAGGGAGCGUAGGUGGGUUGUUAAGUCAGUUGUGAAAGUUUGCGGCUCAACCGUAAAAUUGCAGUUGAAACUGGCAGUCUUGAGUACAGUAGAGGUGGGCGGAAUGCGUGGUGUAGCGGUGAAAUGCUUAGAUAUCACGAAGAACUCCGAUUGCGAAGGCAGUUCACUGGACUGCAACUGACACUGAGGCUCGAAAGUGUGGGUAUCAAACAGGAUUAGAUACCCGUGUAGUC